rnacentral:rRNA from 1 species
UACGGAGGGUGCGAGCGUUGUCCGGAAUCAUUGGGCGUAAAGGGCGCGUAGGUGGCCUGCUAAGCGUGCGGUGAAAGUCGGGGGCUCAACCCCUGAUCGGCCGUGCGAACUGGGAGGCUUGAGCACUGUAGAGGCAGGCGGAAUUCCGGGUGUAGCGGUGGAAUGCGUAGAGAUCCGGAGGAAUACCGAUGGCGAAGGCAGGUCUCUGGGCUGACACUGACGCUCAUGCACGAAAGCGUGGGGAGCAAACAGG